GCAGUUCCCUCUGCCCGAAGCUCCCUCCUUGGCUCCGAUUGAUAGAGUCCCCCGAGUGUCCAAGCCCUUCUCCUGCUUUGCCACCAAAAUUCUUGCUUCAACCGCCAUUAUUAUUCCCAGAGCUCUUCUUUCCAUCAUUACCGUUCUUCCGAUCUUUCGUAUAGAGGAUUUCCGCGAAUCUGGUGGUGUAUCUUCUCUAUUAGGGAUGGAGAGACUGAAGGUAUCUGACGCGAAUUUGGUGGUGUACGUUCACCCGUCUAAGAGUCGGAGGGUCUCUCAGGCCAUCCUCCGCGAGCUUAGCUCUCUGCUCUUAAAGUUUCAUGAAGUUUUUGAUGCUGUAGUAUUGGCUUAUGAUGUUGAAAUUGUCGAUAAAAUUGCAAAGAAUCUUCCAGGUCUCCAUCCAUACUUUGGAGUCAGAUUAAAUGCAAAGUUGUUGCUUUUUUCUCCCAAGCCGAAUAUGCUACUAGAGGGAAAAGUAGUGAAACUCACACAAGAAUCCAUUCAUAUUAUUGUUCUUGGCUUUGCAUCUGCUGUCAUAAUCGGUGAAGAUAUCCGCGAAGACUUCAGAUAUAAAAAUAAAAAUGGUAAAGAAUUGUAUUGCAGCAGAAGUCAGAAGCAUCACUUGAUAAAAGUUGGAAUGAUGAUACGUUUCAUGGUCAAAAGUCUGGAUGAGGAAAUAUUGCACAUUUCUGGUUCUUUACUUCCAGCCCACACAGGAAGCAUCAGUUGGCUGGAUAAGAAUUCCACAGAAAUAUCAACUACUGACAGUAGAAAGAGAGUGAACGAGAGUCGGGGCCUGUUGGAGGGGCAAGCGACGAAGGAGCUCACCCCCAUUAAUGACACAAUUAUAAAGUUGAAGAAGCGAAGAAUUGUAUAAGAGCCUUAAAGGCAAUAUGCAUGUUCUGAUUUAGAAAUUCAUUUUUUUGAGGAGUUUACCGUGCUUCUCUUCCAGCGGAGCUGAUAUGUGCCAUCACAUUGCAGUCACAGUACAAAAGGCAGAGAAGAGAGAGCGAUCUACCGACGGACUGUAGUUGGUGGGCAAUAAUCUCGUCAUAUUUAUCAUGAUAACAUCAAAUGUUUAAGUCAUAGCCACCAUGUAUGAUCGAGUAGACCAUUUUCUUUUAUUUCUUUUCCCUUCACGGAAAUUAUAUAGGAGCUGAGAGUUGAGGAGAAUUCUGCGAUUAUGUUAUGUUCUUUUGAGGAUUUGAAAUUUAUGCUAUUCUCAUUUUUAUUUUUUUAAUUUAUGGAAGAGAAAUCCUGGGAGGGAUGGAUUGGCGUGA